UGCGGUUAGCUUCCUGUCAUCAAGCAAAAUCUCUUGGUUCUGAGACAAGUCAUGACAUGACAAAAGGUGGGGUAAAGGAAAAAAAUGAGCAAAGUGAAGUUUGUUGUGAUGAAUAUCCUCUCCUAGAUCUUCAGUCACAAAAACAAGGAAAUACAGAUAGUGCUCAAACUUCUGCCAAAAAGACAGAUGUCGAGGGGAAACCACCAAAAACGCAGAAAAUUUCACAUUCUUCAUUCUUCAGAGCAGGAAAUGAGAUUGCUUGCAGCAGAGUGUAAUAAAAAAAUAAUAAGAGUUUUACAAGAAUGUAAUAAUAUUAUACUAGUAGUGCAAUAAAGUUAUAACAAGGCUUUGGUAAGGCUUUGCUAACUAGCUACAAAGUACAGGAUAUUCGUAAUUGAUAAUUGACGUAAAAAUAAAUGCAUUAGGAAUAAAAGUAAAGUAAAACUAAGCUAAAAAUGACAUGAUGUCUUAAUAUUGUUUCAAAAAAUACUACAUUUUGAUAGUAAAUUCUUCUUUAAAAAGA